UCUCUCGUCAAACAUACAGGGUGGAACACUCUCUCUCCUGAAGAAAUUCGUGCAAUUCAUAACUAUUUUCUUCUCCUCUCAUAAUCAUCGUCAUCAUCGUAAUAGUUGGUCGUCUGCUGUCUUCAGCUGUUUGGUUGAUCAUCCACAGUUCUUCCACCGGUCGUCGUUUUCCAUCGAUUUUUCGCAUUGUCUCCUUCCCUCCUUGAAGGUAAAUAUUUUUCUACGAUCUUUAUUGACGCAUUCAAAUUAAAGCUACGUUAGAAAGUAAUACUAUUUUGUAUUGGUUUGUUACUAAUCGGGAUUGCAGGAUUAUCUUUUCGACGUCCAGUCAAGAUCGUCUUCGUUUUCCUUCGAUUUUUCAUUUUCUUCUCCGUGGCGAUUGGUCUAGGUAUAUUUGAACUUAUAAAUUACAACAAAACUAGGUUAGCAAAGUAAUUAAACUAUAAUUUGUGUGAUUUGCAGGGAAUAUUCGUCAUCUUUUUUGUCCAUCGUCCAUCGUCGGCUUCGUUUUAGAUUUAUGUAUUUAUAUUUUUAUUACAUUAGUUUUAUUCAUUACAUAUUAAAAUAAUUGCUAUUGU